UACGUAGGGUGCAAGCGUUGUUCGGAAUUACUGGGCGUAAAGGGCUUGUAGGUGGCCAACUAAGUCAGACGUGAAAUCCCCCGGCUUAACCGGGGAACUGCGUCUGAUACUGGAUGGCUUGAGUGUGGGAGAGGGAUGCGGAAUUCCAGGUGUAGCGGUGAAAUGCGUAGAUAUCUGGAGGAACACCGGUGGCGAAGGCGGCAUCCUGGACCAUUACUGACACUGAAAAGCGAAAGCCAGGGGAGCAAACGGG
rnacentral:rRNA from 1 species